rnacentral:rRNA from 1 species
UACGUAGGGGGCGAGCGUUGUCCGGAUUUAUUGGGCGUAAAGAGCGUGUAGGCGGUUUGGUAAGUCUGCCGUGAAAACCCGGGGCUCAACCCCGGGCGUGCGGUGGAUACUGCCAGGCUAGAGGGUGGUAGAGGCGAGUGGAAUUCCCGGUGUAGCGGUGAAAUGCGCAGAUAUCGGGAGGAACACCAGUAGCGAAGGCGGCUCGCUGGGCCAUUCCUGACGCUGAGACGCGAAAGCUAGGGGAGCGAACAGG